UUGUUGUUACUGGAAAAGCACACUCCAAAGACCAACAAAGCAAACACCAUCUCAUUUUGCUUUUGCAGCAUCACUAUAUACAUAUAUAUAUAUAUAUGUAGAUAUAGAGAGAGAAAAUUCUAGAGAGAGAAAGAAAGAAAGGGAGAAAGAGGUCCUCUGCUACUACUUUUUUUUUCACUCCUCACCACUACCACUUAUCAACCAUAUCUGCAAUUUACAGACCACACGAAGCAUAUCUUCAGAUCGUUUACACAAUGUGUUUCAGAUCUCUGUUUUCACUUCUAAUUUAAGCUUGAAUCAGUUUUUUGAUGAUUGCUAUGGGGAGUGUAUCGUCCGAUGAUGGCGACGAUCAACAGAGUGAGCGAUGUGGAAGCUACAGCUUGAGUGCCGAUGUGAGUGAAUCUGAGAGUUCCAGUAGUUUCUCGUGUCGAAGAUUCGACGGUGAAGGAGCAUCGACUUCUCUGGCUUCGUCGCCACUCGCACGCCGUCCGAUGUACGGGAAUUUCGGUUUUCCGGUAGCUCCGCCGCCACCGAUUAUGUUGCCGGUGAUUGGCGGGAAAGAUUUGGGGGUUUGGAAGGUCAAGCCUGAGAAACGGGAGGCCGAUUUGUCUGAAGUUGAGAUGAUGAAGGAAAGAUUUGCUAAGCUGCUCCUUGGAGAAGACAUGUCUGGAGGGGGUAAAGGAGUCUGUACUGCCCUCGCAAUCUCAAAUGCCAUCACAAAUCUCUCUGCCACUAUAUUUGGGGAACUGUGGAGGUUGGAGCCAUUGGCAUCACAGAAGAAGGAAAUGUGGUGCCGAGAGAUGGAAUGGUUGUUAUGUGUGAGCGAUUCAAUUGUGGAGUUUGUGCCUUCGGUACAGAAAUUCCCUGGGGGAGGGACGUAUGAAGUCAUGGCAACACAGCAGAGAUCAGAUUUGUACGUGAAUCUCCCUGCCCUCAAGAAGCUUGAUGCCAUGUUAAUUAUGAUCCUUGAUGGAUUUCGAGAAACCGAGUUCGGUUAUGUUGAUCGUGGGAUAAUUGUGCCUGAUGCCAAUGAUUGUGAUGAAUUUCCAUCAUCUGCAUCUAAUGGGAGGCCUUCAAUAAGGCAAGAAGAGAAGUGGUGGCUCCCAUGUCCAAAAAUUCCUCCGAGUGGGUUGCCAGAGGAUGCAAGAAAGAGGUUGCAGCAGUGCAGGGACUGUACAAACCAGAUAUUGAAGGCAGCCAUGGCCAUCAAUAGCGUUGUGCUCGCUGAGAUGGAGAUUCCUAGUGCCUACUUGGAGACCUUGCCCAAGAAUGGAAAAUCUUGUCUGGGCGAUAUCAUAUACCGUUACAUAACUGCUGACCAGUUCUCACCAGAAUGUCUCCUUGAUUGCCUAGACCUUUCAUCAGAGCAUCAUACCCUGGAAGUGGUAAACAGAAUUGAAGCAGCCUUGCAUGUGUGGAAACAGAAAGACAGAAAAAAACACACAAACCACCUGAAAUGUAAGCAUUCAUCAUGGGGUGGCAAGGUCAAAGGCCUUGUUGUUGAUGGUGGGAAGAAUCAUUUUCUGGCUCAACGAGCUGAGACCCUCUUGCAGAGCUUGAAAGUUCGAUUCCCUGGUCUUCCACAAACUGCAUUGGAUAUGAGCAAAAUUCAAUACAAUAAGGACGUGGGGCAAUCAAUUCUUGAAAGUUACUCAAGAGUAAUGGAGAGCUUGGCGUUUAACAUAAUUGCUAGGAUUGACGAUGUCCUUUAUGUAGAUGAUGCCACUAAGCGAAGUGAUGGAGCUAAGUCAAUGUCCUUUUUCAGCAAGGGAGGUUUGGAUGGUCUUCCAAUCCAAAAGCCAAUGUCACCUAGCCCAUUCUCAGUUCGACAUACCCCUUAUACCUCUCCAUUUGCAACACCGACCUUCUGUUCAUCCCCUCCCUUGGCUGGAAGCCCAUCUAGGACUCCUUCCCCUUUGAACAAAAAUAGUCUUAACCAGAAGACCGAAAAACCAAUAUCGGCUGACUUAGAGAAGCUGUGGACACAAGCCAGAAAUAUCAGCAAUGGAAAAGUUUAUGGUGUAACGCCUGAGCGUGAUUGAGAAAAGUGAUUCAUCUGUAUCACAAAGAGAAUUGCAUACAUGGCUUAGCAUCCUUGUGGCUGUGGGAUGUAAAAAGGUACUCGUCAGUUCCAGACUUAGACCUGAUCGUGCUGAGCAGAGACUACUACUCACUCUUUCGACGACGUAGGACUUUUCUCCAUGGUUUAACUUUGGCUAUCUUUUAGCUAUUUAUGUUUCAGUUUGGAUUUUGGUAUUAGGGGUCCAAUGAAUGGAUUCCCGAGUUGUUAUCUAUUGGAGGUUUUGGAAUUUUAAGUAUUUAAUGAAAAAGGAUUGUCUUUUAGAUUU